UUAAUUAUAUUAAAUAUUGAAGGAAAAUUAAUAAAAAAUUCUAUAUAAUAGAAAAAUUUUAAUGAAAAUUAAAUAGGGGAAUUAAAAUUAAUAAUGAUAAAUUAAAGUGCCAGCAAUAGCGGUUAAACUUGUAUUAUAAGUCAAUAAUU